CCAACAGUUCUUUUCAGGACUACACACAUUCAAGAAAGAAAUAUU
rfam:Strongylocentrotus purpuratus Contig114476_fixed, whole genome shotgun sequence.